rnacentral:rRNA from 1 species
UUAAGCGACUAAGCGUACACGGUGGAUGCCCUGGCAGUCAGAGGCGAUGAAGGACGUGCUAAUCUGCGAAAAGCGUCGGUAAGGUGAUAUGAACCGUUANNNNNNNNNNNNNNNNNCCGGCGAUGUCCGAAUGGGGAAACCCAGUGCAAUUCGUUGCACUAUCGUUAACUGAAUACAUAGGUUAACGAGGCGAACCGGGGGAACUGAAACAUCUAAGUACCCCGAGGAAAAGAAAUCAACCGAGAUUCCCCCAGUAGCGGCGAGCGAACGGGGAGCAGCCCAGAGUCUGAAUCAGCUUGUGUGUUAGUGGAACGGUCUGGAAAGUCCGACGGUACAGGGUGAUAGUCCCGUACACCAAAAUGCACAGGCUGUGAACUCGAAGAGUAGGGCGGGACACGUGGUAUCCUGUCUGAAUAUGGGGGGACCAUCCUCCAAGGCUAAAUACUCCUGACUGACCGAUAGUGAACCAGUACCGUGAGGGAAAGGCGAAAAGAACCCCGGCGAGGGGAGUGAAAAAGAACCUGAAACCGUGUACGUACAAGCAGUGGGAGCACCUUCGGGUGUGACUGCGUACCUUUUGUAUAAUGGGUCAGCGACUUAUAUUCUGUAGCAAGGUUAACCGUAUAGGGGAGCCGCAGGGAAACCGAGUCUUAACUGGGCGUUAAGUUGCAGGGUAUAGACCCGAAACCCGGUGAUCUAGCCAUGGGCAGGUUGAAGGUUGGGUAACACUAACUGGAGGACCGAACCGACUAAUGUUGAAAAAUUAGCGGAUGACUUGUGGCUGGGGGUGAAAGGCCAAUCAAACCGGGAGAUAGCUGGUUCUCCCCGAAAGCUAUUUAGGUAGCGCCUCGUGAACUCAUCUUCGGGGGUAGAGCACUGUUUCGGCUAGGGGGUCAUCCCGACUUACCAACCCGAUGCAAACUACGAAUACCGAAGAAUGUUAUCACGGGAGACACACGGCGGGUGCUAACGUCCGUCGUGAAGAGGGAAACAACCCAGACCGCCAGCUAAGGUCCCAAAGUCAUGGUUAAGUGGGAAACGAUGUGGGAAGGCACAGACAGCCAGGAUGUUGGCUUAGAAGCAGCCAUCAUUUAAAGAAAGCGUAAUAGCUCACUGGUCGAGUCGGCCUGCGCGGAAGAUGUAACGGGGCUAAACCAUGCACCGAAGCUGCGGCAGCGACACUAUGUGUUGUUGGGUAGGGGAGCGUUCUGUAAGCCUGCGAAGGUGUGCUGUGAGGCAUGCUGGAGGUAUCAGAAGUGCGAAUGCUGACAUAAGUAACGAUAAAGCGGGUGAAAAGCCCGCUCGCCGGAAGACCAAGGGUUCCUGUCCAACGUUAAUCGGGGCAGGGUGAGUCGACCCCUAAGGCGAGGCCGAAAGGCGUAGUCGAUGGGAAACAGGUUAAUAUUCCUGUACUUGGUGUUACUGCGAAGGGGGGACGGAGAAGGCUAUGUUAGCCGGGCGACGGUUGUCCCGGUUUAAGCAUGUAGGCUGGUUAUCCAGGCAAAUCCGGAUAAUCAAGGCUGAGGUGUGAUGACGAGGCACUACGGUGCUGAAGUAACAAAUGCCCUGCUUCCAGGAAAAGCCUCUAAGCAUCAGGUAACAUCAAAUCGUACCCCAAACCGACACAGGUGGUCAGGUAGAGAAUACCAAGGCGCUUGAGAGAACUCGGGUGAAGGAACUAGGCAAAAUGGUGCCGUAACUUCGGGAGAAGGCACGCUGGUGUGUAGGUGAAGUCCCUGCGGAUGGAGCUGAGACCAGUCGAAGAUACCAGCUGGCUGCAACUGUUUAUUAAAAACACAGCACUGUGCAAACACGAAAGUGGACGUAUACGGUGUGACGCCUGCCCGGUGCCGGAAGGUUAAUUGAUGGGGUUAUCCGUAAGGAGAAGCUCUUGAUCGAAGCCCCGGUAAACGGCGGCCGUAACUAUAACGGUCCUAAGGUAGCGAAAUUCCUUGUCGGGUAAGUUCCGACCUGCACGAAUGGCGUAAUGAUGGCCAGGCUGUCUCCACCCGAGACUCAGUGAAAUUGAACUCGCUGUGAAGAUGCAGUGUACCCGCGGCAAGACGGAAAGACCCCGUGAACCUUUACUAUAGCUUGACACUGAACAUUGAGCCUUGAUGUGUAGGAUAGGUGGGAGGCUUUGAAGCGUGGACGCCAGUCUGCGUGGAGCCAACCUUGAAAUACCACCCUUUAAUGUUUGAUGUUCUAACGUUGGCCCCUGACCGGGGUUGCGGACAGUGUCUGGUGGGUAGUUUGACUGGGGCGGUCUCCUCCCAAAGCGUAACGGAGGAGCACGAAGGUUAGCUAAUCCUGGUCGGACAUCAGGAGGUUAGUGCAAUGGCAUAAGCUAGCUUGACUGCGAGCGUGACGGCGCGAGCAGGUGCGAAAGCAGGUCAUAGUGAUCCGGUGGUUCUGAAUGGAAGGGCCAUCGCUCAACGGAUAAAAGGUACUCCGGGGAUAACAGGCUGAUACCGCCCAAGAGUUCAUAUCGACGGCGGUGUUUGGCACCUCGAUGUCGGCUCAUCACAUCCUGGGGCUGAAGUAGGUCCCAAGGGUAUGGCUGUUCGCCAUUUAAAGUGGUACGCGAGCUGGGUUUAGAACGUCGUGAGACAGUUCGGUCCCUAUCUGCCGUGGGCGCUGGAGAAUUGAGGGGGGCUGCUCCUAGUACGAGAGGACCGGAGUGGACGCAUCACUGGUGUUCGGGUUGUCAUGCCAAUGGCACUGCCCGGUAGCUAAAUGCGGAAGAGAUAAGUGCUGAAAGCAUCUAAGCACGAAACUUGCCCCGAGAUGAGUUCUCCCUGAGACUAUAAGUCUCCUGAAGGAACGUUNGACGUUGAUAGGCCGGGUGUGUAAGCGCAGCGAUGCGUUGAGCUAACCGGUACUAAUGAACCGUGAGGCUUAACCUU